GCCAGCACGAGGUCGGGGUGGAGGGUCAUGAGCACCAGCAGGCGCGUCGAGGGGCACCAUGGUCACUGUGGGAGCACGCCAAACCCGAAGGCCAUCACCAGCCACUGCUUAGCACACUGCGAGAUCGGCGGUCAAGGCCACGUUCACGGCUUCGGGGGACCACCCACGGUCACCAAGGUGGCGGCGUCCGUGUAGGAGAGAGAGAAGAUGAGGAGAGAGAGAGAAGGAAGGAGAGGAGGGACAAAGAGAGGUCAGUGGAGAGGGAGGUGCAGUGUCGUGAGAAGAAUACAAUGGGGCACGGUCUUCUGGAGGUGCAUCAGGUCCAUGCCAAGGGCCUCUCGGGCAGCGAUUUCCUCGGGAAGAUACACUCGUACGUGGUCGUGCAGUACCGGAGCCAGGAGCGCAAGGGCAGCACGGCCCGAGAUAACUACUUCAGGUUAGGCGGGAGAAUUAAAAAGGGUAAGCAUAGAUAUAUGGUCUAGCAUCACGAGGUUCAGGUUCCUGCUGUUGAUCAACCGUUGCUUCGGUCGAGUUAGAGAUUAAAGAAGACUGAAAUUAUGGGCUCGCAGCGAGGAUUGCUGUGUCCAACCUGCACAAGAAUGCCAAGAAGUCCUUCUCGGAGACGAUUAAGGACAUGUACCAACGAGAGAUCUGGGCUGCUUCUUUGUGGCUUCCAAACUUGAAAUGUUUGUUUGGAAGUUAGUUUAGUUUUUUGUUAUGGAUUCACAGCUUCUCACAUGUACCAUCCUAUUAGACCUUUAGAUUUCCAAAGAAACUAAAUGAAGAUAUCUUGGUAUGGUCUCAAUGAAGAAUCAUUUAUCUAUGUUAAAGCUUUCCAUGCUUUAUAUUUUCUCUGAAAUUUGCUCUUGAAGAAUCAUGUAUCUAUGUUAGAUCUGGUGAGAAAAGGCAGCUUCCAAGCAGAGGAUGCGGGAGUGUUGGCCACAUUUGGUUUU